ACAUAAUUGUACUCAAGAACUCAGCCAUUCAACUUCCUCGAGGCAUGUGAAUUUGAAAGACAUGUUACAGUAAAGUCUGAUAACAACCUAAAUAGCGGAUUUCCAGUGCACUGAGGAUGAGCAAGACGCUUUAACACUUCAAGAAAGGACUAUGUCAAGUGUGUAUUGUUGUUUGAAGAACAAAUAUUGACUGCGAUUUGGCUUUAUCAAGAUGAAACGCAUAAUUAUUAUAUUAUAAUGAACACUUAUCUACACGACAAUCACUUUGGAAUGAUUCGUUCGGUCGGUAUCAAAACGAGGGCUCAACCGUGUCAGUCAUUUAACCUCAAACAUUUGAACAGCAUGUGGGGACAAUUGAUAAUCGCUCUAGCCUGUGCGUCGAAGAUUUCAGCACAAGACUGUGUGAUCCCAUCGGGUUCGCAGUUCAGCAGGGCGAGUUACCGGCCGUAUCACGGGCUGACUGCUUCCGGAAAUACUUUCUACAACGCCGGAGAGCGGGUAAAUGUCGGCACGUGGAUCCGGGUGGUAUGUAACAAGGACCGUCAAGGGGAUUCUGUUUUAAACGUCAGCAAUCAUUUAUGCAGCGCCGGAAAUUGGAGCCCAGCACUUCCGGUUUGCCAAGAAUACGCACGGUGCGGAGCGCCCCCUAGGGUUGAGAAUGCUACAGCGUCCGAAAGAAUCACGCCCUUCAUAACCUUUCCCCACCAGACUGUUGUUCAUUACAAAUGUAACGCAGGCUUCGACAAGCAUGGAACGACAUCGCACGUUAAGUGCGUAGACGGCGAAUGGACGUCAGCCGACGUCAUUUGCGUUGAAACGACAACGAUUACGUCGGAGAUAACAGAGAAUGUAGACAUCACUUCUCAAAAUAAUUUUCGCAUCCCAAUAACUACCGUCGGGACGAUACCAUUGUGUACAGAACCAGACAUUCCAUACGGCAAGCUCGUGAAGAACGUCUCUUCCGGUUCCUAUGACGUCAUUUGUGACGUAGGCUUCAAAGUUAUAUCACCUUAAAGUGUCAGAUGCUUGAGAGGAGUUUGGAGCGAGCCGAUACCGCAAUGUGCAAAACACGCGCGGUGUGGAGCGCCCCCUAGGGUUGAGAAUGCCACAGCGUCCGAAAGAAUCACGCCCUACAUAACCUUUCCCCACCAGACUGUUGUAACCUACAAAUGUAAAGCAGGCUUCGAUAAGCGUGGAACGACAUCGUACGUAAAGUGCGUAGACGGCGAAUGGACGUCAGCCGACGUCAUUUGCGUUGAUAGGACAACGAUGACGACAGAGAUAAAAGAGACUAUUGAAACAACUACUCAAAACGGAAUACCAUCAGUGUUCUGUGAAAACCCGGAUAUUGACUUUUCCAUCCAUUGGUUGAUCAACAACAAGACAAAGAUGGAUGAUCUUUCUGGUACCCGGCAUCCGAAAGGAACUGUCCUCACUGUGGUGGACCCCCGGUGCUCCUAUCGUGGAACCGGAAGCUAUACCUGCCAUGAAGGCCAAUGGGUCGCUAAUGCUAACUGCAAUCCAGAUCGGUGUGUGUACGACAGGACCCGAUAUGUCUUCACACCGAACAUUACUGCGGACGGAUUUGGCCGAACCACGGAAUACGUAAACUCUGGAACAUUUUUGAAAUUUCCGCGAUGAAUACGUUCGACAAGAUUGACUUCAUAGAUGACAAAACCCGAUGCGAUCAGGGAAGAUUAGUCAACGAUAUUUUCCCACGACAUCAGUGAUAUUUCGAGACAACAUUGCAAUGUGGAUGUAUCAUUGUCUUAUGGCGACAUGUAUAGUUCUAAUGGAAUUGCACGGAAAGGAUAUUUAAUCUAGAAUACAUACUUUAUGGUAUCAAUCCAUUGGUAAAAAAACAACAAAAAUCAAGUAUCAUUUCAAAGAACAUUUCCAGUGUGUAAUUUUAUAAAUAUAAUUCUUAAAAUCGUGGUAGAAUUUGACAGACAUAGUUUGGCUAAUAACACAUGUGGGACGCUACUAACCGUGAAGUAGAAAAGAUCUCUUGUUGCAAAAUCAUUACAGCACACAUUCCUUAAGAGAGCCUAUUUUGAAUGGUCUUUAUGGUCAAUUAUUUUGAUUUAUUAUUAAUCAAAUUAAUCAACUAUCAAAACGUAUUUAAAGCAGAAAUAAUUUCCCAUGAACAAAUAACACAUUUGUAAACAUUUAUAUGCCGAUUAACUUGUGUAUUGACCUUGCGUUGAUACCAAAACAUUGGCAAGUAAACUGAAUGCCAAUGUAUAUCGUGUGUUAUUUUAUCCUUUCCUAGGUUCACGCAGAAUGCAUCGCAUCGAAAGGGAUAUCAAGUUAUGACUCUACGUGCCGAGAUCUUCGUUGGGAUCCAGCCCUGCCGAAUUGCGAUGGAGGAAACCAACAAAUUUCAAAUAAACAAGCAACAAUAAUGAUCGCCUCAGUGGUAACUUCGGUGGCGUUACUCGGUGCAGUCAUUGCUCUAGCUAUUCAUUGCUGUAAACUUAAAAGAAAGCAAACAGAGAAACCGACAGAUACAAACUAUUUCACAACAACCGAGGUGUUAAAGGGCCAAUCAAAAUACGACAUGUUUGACACAUACACAGUCACAGGGCAGGGCAGUGGAACGAACCGUUAACGAUGCGUCGAACACAAACGCAGUUUCAUCAAAAGCACGGUUAACUAAUCAAUCCGUUUAAAUUUCGUCUUACAGCCUUAUUUGAUGCGAGUACAACAAAGAUAAAUGUUAGCACGUAUGCUAUAAAAUGGCUAAGUUUGAAAAUAAAAUUGAAUUCCAAUUGUUAAAAAUAAAAAUGAUAACACGACAUCAUCCCUCGAAACAUUGUUGUUACUUUCAUUAAAUGUUUUACAUUUAGAAACAUAUUUUUAUUUGAUGUGUGGUCAAAAACUUCUGAGCGUUGCAGAAAGAGUUUGUCAUUUAUCUGAGAUAAUGGUUUAUGUUUUUGCAUGAUUUGUGUAUAAUCAGCCUUUGAACUAAAACACAAUUGAUCGAGGUGUGGUUAUUGGCAGGUGUUUUAAACAAUAAUGACCUAAUGGAAAACCCAACAUCGGAUGGUAUUCGAAUGGAAAAAUCAUAGGACUCACGUUUAUUGCGGUUGUAGACGUGUUUUUGUUGUCGAGCAAGAUUAAUUGUAUUAUGUGACUUAAUUCGUAUCUUCUGAGGUCUCUAAAAGGAUAUGUGCAAUUAAUGGUAGUAGAUUGUGCCCGUUGAUAUCGUAAUUAUGAUGUUCUUUUCGACACCUUAUUCACCUGUUUGUCAAAGGUAUUUAUUUCUAUAUAUAGCAUACAUUUAUGAAACUAGUCUAAUUCCGUCCUUUGAUAAUCAAUAAUUGUUGAAUACAUGAUCAAUUACAAAUAGAUGAUACAUUCAUCUUGGUAUGUGUUCAUAGCAAUGCUUUAAGCCCAAGUCUUACCCGGUGGCCUCCAGGCAGAGCGCCAGUUUACCGAUGUUCCGUAGCUAUACCGGGACUCUGUCGGCAUUCACCGGGGCUCCACCUGGGCACCACCGGCGACAACCGGGGCGUUGCCAUAGCUUUGCCGGGGUCAUACUAUUUCCCGGUGCCGCCACGGUUGAAACCGUUCAACAACCCGGCAGAUUCCUGGUCAACCCCGGACUAGCAACGAUUUAUCCCGGUGAAGCCCUAACAGAGCCCCGGUUGUCGCCGGUAAUGCCCAGGUGGAGGCCCGAUGAAAGCCGACAGCGUCCCGGCAGAGCCCCGGUCUACCGUAACUCCGCCGGCACUCACCGGUGCUACACCGGCAUCAGAACCCGACAGAGCUACGGCAACGCCCCGGGUAAAUCGCGGUCGGCGCCGAUAAUGCACAGGCGGAGCCCCGGUGAAUACCGGUGGCCUCCCGGCAGAGCGCCAGUUUACCGAUGUACCAUAGCUAUACCAGGACUUUGUCGGCAUUCAACGGGGAUCCACCUGGGCACCACCGGCGACAACCGGGGCGUUGCCAUAGCUCUGUCGGGGUCUUUAUAGGCGCCGGUGAAGCUACGGUGCCAUCCCGGUUGUAUCAGGUGCCGCGCCGGUCGUUGCCGGUCCUUUCCGGUGACUCCCGGUUCAGGCCGGAGGUAUUAGACAUUUAAAUACUUACCCGGUGGACCCCCGGUUGUCCCCCGUCGUCUCCGGUUCAUCCCGGUCGUCCCCGGUGGAGCCCCGGUUCAUCCCGGUAGAGCCCCGGUUCAUCCCGGUAGAUCCCGAUUCACGCACCGGUGCUCCACUGGCAUCAUAGUGAGACUGGGCAUUUAUUGCGCAUGAAAAGCUUACCUGUGUAUGUAUUAAGAUUGAGUUGGUAUCAUUUGAAUAAAUAUCAUGUUCGUUUUGGCCAGAGUUUAACGCUUUUUAAAAAUAUAGAAGAAUCAACGAAUUGCUUUGCAAAGAUUGUCUGCUACAAUGACAAAUGCAAAUAUGUUUUUCUAUUUAAAAUAAAAUACUAAGUCAGGAAACAUUUAACGGUAGUUCAGCUGCUAAACAAAAGAAGCGUCCAACCAAAAACAAGUUGACAUGUAAUCUAACAUAUAAAGGUACUCAUGUCAUGGAUAACUUACAUAUUCUCACGCAAGGACAGCAGUGAUAUACCCUUGAUGUUGCAAUAAGACACUGCUUAUGUAUUAACCUUUUGACACGAAAUGGGCAGAAUUAUAUGCCUUUAUACAUUUACAAUUACAUGUGUGUCAAUGUAUUCCUUGAAAUUAUUAAUGUAAUACUAUGUGGUUAUUGUCUUUUUCAAAUCCAUUAACAAUAUGU